CACAUUCUUUGCUUUCUGAUAAAUUUCCAUUUUCACUGCAAAGGAAUUUACGGUGUCUUAAACCCCUCCUCAUAACACUUCUCAAGACCUGCUGCUGCUUCCCAGCUGGAGUGAUGGCCAAUACCACACUGCUUGAAACACAAUAGAGUUCCUUAUUAUUUGUACAAGACUUUGAAGAACUGCAUGACAUGCAUGAAAUAGUUACCAGCUUGAGAUGCUGAAAAGCCAGUUGUCCAAAAGGAGCGAUCCCAGAUCAGAGAAAGACCUUGGGUCCUGAGAUUUUUACUGCUGCUUUCCAUAUGCCAUAUUUCUGUUGCCGCUGCUACCUGAAUGACUAAAUUUCCACCUAACUCCCUUCAGGACAUCAUUGUCUUCAGAC